UGGGGCAUAUUGGACAAUGCGGGAAACCGUGAUCCAGCAAUGCCGCGUGAGUGAUGAAGGCCUUAGGGUUGUAAAGCUCUUUUACCAGGGAUGAUAAUGACAGUACCUGGAGAAUAAGCUCCGGCUAACUCCGUGCCAGCAGCCGCGGUAAUACGGAGGGAGCUAGCGUUGUUCGGAAUUACUGGGCGUAAAGCGCGCGUAGGCGGCUAUUCAAGUCAGGGGUGAAAUCCCGGGGCACAACCCCGGAACUGCCCUUGAAGCUAGGUAGCUAGAAUACUGUAGAGGUGAGUGGAAUUCCGAGUGUAGAGGUGAAAUUCGUAGAUAUUCGGAAGAACACCAGUGGCGAAGGCGACUGUCGGGCACAUUUCUGACGCUGAGGUGCGAAAGCGUGGGGAGCAAACAGGAUUAGAUACCCCCGUAGUCC
rnacentral:rRNA from 1 species